rnacentral:rRNA from 1 species
UACGUAGGGGGCAAGCGUUGUCCGGAAUCAUUGGGCGUAAAGAGCGUGUAGGCGGUUCGGUAAGUCGGCUGUGAAAGUCCAGGGCUCAACCCUGGGAUGCCGGUCGAUACUGCCGGACUAGAGUUCGGAAGAGGCGAGUGGAAUUCCCGGUGUAGCGGUGAAAUGCGCAGAUAUCGGGAGGAACACCUAUUGCGAAGGCAGCUCGCUGGGACGUUACUGACGCUGAGACGCGAAAGCGUGGGGAGCAAACAGG